CUCGUAGGCGGCCAACUAAGUCGGAUGUGAAAUCCCCAGGCUUAACCUGGGAACUGCAUCCGAUACUGGAUGGCUUGAAUCCGGGAGAGGGAUGCAGAAUUCCAGGUGUAGCGGUGAAAUGCGUAGAUAUCUGGAGGAAUACCGGUGGCGAAGGCGGCAUCCUGGACCGGCAUUGACGCUGAGGAGCGAAAGCUAGGGGAGCGAAACG
rnacentral:rRNA from 1 species